CCCUACGGGGGGCAGCAGUAGGGAAUAUUGCUCAAUGGGGGAAACCCUGAAGCAGCAACGCCGCGUGGAGGAUGAAGGUUUUCGGAUUGUAAACUCCUUUUAGUAGAGAAGAUAAUGACGGUAUCUAACGAAAAAGCACCGGCUAACUCCGUGGCAGCAGCCGCGGGAAUACGGAGGGUGCAAGCGUUACUCGGAAUCACUUGGCGUAAAGAGCACGGAGGAGGGAUAGCAAGUCA
rnacentral:rRNA from 1 species